rnacentral:rRNA from 1 species
CAUGGUGAGGGGUGGGAAAGAAUUUCGGUCAAGGAUGGACUCGCGGCCUAUCAGCUAGUUGGUGAGGUAAUGGCCCACCCAAGGCGACGACGGGUAGCCGGCNUGAGAGGGUGACCGGCCACACUGGGACUGAGACACGGCCCAGACUCCUACGGGAGGCAGCAGUGGGGAAUAUUGCACAAUGGGCGCAAGCCUGAUGCAGCAACGCCGCGUGAGGGACGACGGCCUUCGGGUUGUAAACCUCUUUUAGUAGGGAAGAAGCGAAAGUGACGGUACCUGCAGAAAAAGCACCGGCUAACUACGUGCCAGCAGCCGCGGUAAUACGUAGGGUGCAAGCGUUAUCCGGAAUUAUUGGGCGUAAAGAGCUCGUAGGCGGUUUGUCGCGUCUGCUGUGAAAACUGGAGGCUCAACCUCCAGCCUGCAGUGGGUACGGGCAGACUAGAGUGCGGUAGGGGAGAUUGGAAUUCCUGGUGUAGCGGUGGAAUGCGCAGAUAUCAGGAGGAACACCGAUGGCGAAGGCAGAUCUCUGGGCCGUAACUGACGCUGAGGAGCGAAAGCAUGGGGAGCGAACAGGAUUAGAUACCCUGGUAGUCCAUGCCGUAAACGUUGGGAACUAGAUGUAGGGGCCAUUCCACGGUUUCUGUGUCGCAGCUAACGCAUUAAGUUCCCCGCCUGGGGAGUACGGCCGCAAGGCUAAAACUCAAAGGAAUUGACGGGGGCCCGCACAAGCGGCGGAGCAUGCGGAUUAAUUCGAUGCAACGCGAAGAACCUUACCAAGGCUUGACAUAUACCGGAAAAGUUCAGAAAUGUUCUCCCCGCAAGGUCGGUAUACAGGUGGUGCAUGGUUGUCGUCAGCUCGUGUCGUGAGAUGUUGGGGUAAGUCCCGCAACGAGAAG